GGACGGGUAGCUCAGUUGGUAGAGCACUGGACUGAAAAUCCUGGUGUCGCUGGUUCAAACCCAGCUCCGUCCA
rnacentral:tRNA from 1 species